GUUCCUCACCAUGGACCGCCUUUAUGUACCGACAUCCAAUGGCACAGUAUGCUGAGCUGGGGCUGGGGUUUAAGGCGGGUCAUUUAGUGGUCUGGUUGUUUGGCGUGGAGUGGAGGACCCAGAAGAUCAACCUCCUUGAGUCACAGUGGUACCCACUAUGCCUGACCUGGUCACAUACAAAAGACAGACCUGCCUUAUACCUUAAAGGGACCCUGCUGAACCUCACGGCAGUUCUCUAUGGAGCUACUUUUACCUCCUCCUCAUGCUCCACACUGGCCCCCGAUGGAUCGCUCACUCUGGGAUCAGGACACUUCAUUGUAAACGACAACAUACAGAUCAUUCCUUUUACCGGUGUGUCGGGAAAACUCUCUCUGUUCCGGAUGUGGGGGAGAGAACGCAGCAGCAAGGAAGUGGCAUCAAUGAACUGUACAGAGGGGGAUGUUGUGAAGUGGGAGAGAGACAACUGGGACACUCAGAUCUGUGCUCCACUCCAAGAUCCCAGCCUGAAUUGCACAUGGUCCAUUUACCAAGUGAAACUGAUAAUUACUAUUAUUCGUCAGGAUGGGAACAAAACUGAGCUCUACACAGCCAGAGACAUCGCACAUCAAUGGCUCAGAAAGGAGCUGCCGAGCGACAUCUAUUUACACAUAGUAUCUGUGUUUGAACUGUCCAGAUCCAAUACAGAAGACCUCGUAAAAACACCAUAUGAAGACCAGCUGAUGCGGUUCGGUCCCUCCAGUAGCAACAGUUUUCGCUGCCACGUAUACGUGAAUGUCAUCCCUGCCUUGGAUGUGGCAUAUGUGCAGUCUCUAAUAGCCACGAGGCUUAAAAAUCCCUACAACGACUCCAGUGGUUUGCUACAGCUGCAAGCAGAUGCAGAAAACAUACACACCACGCCUGUCGAUGGUUUCUUAGUUGACACCAGCAGCCCCAGUACGAUGACACAGCCUUCUCCUGUGACAAAUAUUACCACUACGACCACAAUACCAUCCUCCACGUCCUUUUCUACCACCGACUUUAGACCCCCAACCACGAG
ensembl:lncRNA